rnacentral:misc_RNA from 1 species
AUUAAAUCACGAGUUCUUGCACAAUCCUUUUUAUUUUUUCUUUAAAAGAGAAAGUAAGUAAAAUAAUAGAAUUACACAAUCCUUAGAAUUAUUGGGCUAAAUAAGAUUAUUGAAGGGCCUAUAUAUAUAUAUAUAAUGAGAGCUCCAACUAGAGAUGGGCUCAACCAAACAGGCAGGGUAGGAUUCAACAAGCCCAAGCACUGCUUGGCAUUGACUAGGUUCUAGAAUGAUAGUCUAGGUUCUAGAAUGAUACUAUCUACCCAAUCUCCUCUUUUCAUACUUUUGUUUUGCAUUCUUAUCCUUUAUGAAAAUUUCCAGACCACCAUCAUCGAUUUCAUUGGCACUUUGGCAGUACCUUGGCCUUUUUCACACAACUUGAGUACAGUCAACAACCACAUGAGACCAACAUCGUCAACAGUAAUCUUGGCAUCUGAGCCAGACAUUGUUUGAGAUAAAUGGUGAUAUUAUUCUUAGAUCAAGCCAUAGUGGAGACUGACAAUCAUUCCACCUUUUCAAUGCUGUUAGACCCAACAAAAUCUAUUAACACCCCUUGGUUUUCUCUCACCUCAAGGAAUGGGUUCCCUAAUAUUGAGAUCUAGAUUACAUACCAUUGUGAUUUGGAUCAUAAAAAUACCAGUCUCAGAUGCAAAUUGUUGAAGUCCCACAUUGGAAAAUAACAAGAAAUUGAGAGUGAAUAUAUAACAAGGGGGAGCGAAACCAACUUGGCUUAAGCCAUUUUAGUAGAGGCAACUCUAAGCUCAAAUAACUAAACUAUGACGACAAUCUUCAGCACUCUCCGGGUCAGAGCAAAUUUCACAUGAUAUCAGAGUAGGCCACAAUUCGGAACAUGAAAAAGCAUGGUGGGUUGUGUGCAGUGAGCCAAACUUAAGUGCAUCCAUGGGCUAGUAACAAAUAGAACUAGACCUGCAGAGCCAAGCCACAAAAGAGAAGGCCAAACUCUAGAUGGGCCACUGCAUGCAGUUCAGGUGAUAACUGGAUCUAAAACUGAAGUUCGGUCUAGUUACACUUGAGGGAGAAGUGUUGGAAUCUUACAUCGAAAAAUAACAAGAAAUUGAAAGUGA